AAUGGCACUCCUUGGUCAUUAACAUAUUUACAAAGCUUUCCUUCUCUGUUCAGUAGUGAGUUAACCUGUGAUUUUCCAGUAGAAUAGAGUAACUCUUUCGAAGGCAGCAGCUUCACUGUCUGAUUUUACAACAUCAUCGGAGAAAUCUAAUGAGUGGUAGUUCAGAGGGAAGGGCUUCAUUUCUUUUCUCUCGGUUUCACUUACUCCUUACUUACAAUGGUGAGUAGCUGCUUUUAUGUGGUUUCCUUUGCCAAUAUUUUAAAUUAUGGUUCAUUCUACUGGUGUGGUGUCAAUGAAAUGUGUAAUUAUUGUAAUGUGUUUUACUAUAACUGCUGCACCACCAAACUGCAGAGCAGUGUUUUCCCACCAAGCUAUUAUUAUUAUGCCAUGUAUUGAAUACAUUUACUCAAUAUAGUUUGGGGGGGGGGCGUCGGACGACUUGUGGCGACUAGGUGGCAACUUAUUGAUGAAGAUGUAGCCUACAUUGGCAAAGGAGUAGCCUAUCCACACAUAGAUGUCACACAACAGUCUCCUUCCGUAGGUUAUCCCGCCAUAGCCAAAUAUUCAGGAGGCUUCGUCGUGACUCCAGUUUGUCCCCUGCUUGUCGACAUGUUGGUAGCAAAGCGCUAAACGAUUUUUAACUAAUAAAAUGACACAAAGCCUACAGUGGUAGCCUAGGCUUCCUGCUGUCACACAGUUUCAAACCUUAAAAAAAGGUCUGCUGCAGAGAUCACUUGGCAGCGAUCCGAGACCACACCUUCGAGGCGGACCAGAGAGCGGCUGUUUACCAACCCAACCGCACCGCAGCAAGGGCGUAAACGCUCCAGGAGUGUCAUAUUUUAACCGAGGACAGGAAGGAGUCCGUUCUUCAGCUGUGGUGACAGAGAGCCCGAAUGGCGGGCGGUCCAGUGAACGUCUGCUUGGCACCAGGGGAUCUACUUCAUCUCCUGCAGUUCAACAGAGACAGAGGUCGAGAUUACCUUGGAUCCGUGUCAGGCUUUGUGUCCAAACAUAAAGGCAAGUCUUUGGUCUUAGAGAGUCCAGCUGGUGCCACACUGACAAUAGGAGACCUGAGUGACACCAUUUACAGAGACAAACGUAAUGAAGUCAAUGGGUGGGGUAAAUUCUACCUUCCUAAAGAAGUAAGCAUGCAGGUUGUAGGUGUAGUGGAGGAGACCUCGUGCCCGUGUGACCAGCUCGUCCUGAUGACCUGUGAGGACAGAAAGCUGUAUGCCUACGAUGGAGAGGAACUGCACGAGGUGGCUUCAAGCCUAAAGCAGCUAGGUGAAAAGAGAAUAGAGUAUCCAGCAUCCACGAGCUAUUACAACGGGGAGGCCUUCAAAGAUAUGACCGAGAAGGACUGGGUCAAAGUGAGGGAGGGUGCUGUGGGGAAGAGUUUGGACCAAGCUCAUCAUAAACUGGUGACAGCACAAAAGUCCAGAUUCCUGCAGAAUCUCAAAAUCAAAUGAUCCAGCAGUUAAUGCUUUUGGGUUUUGUUCUUGUGAUGUUGUUGGUUGUUGAUUAUGUCCAUGUCAAUAUAGAAAUGCACACUUUAUUAAACCACACAGAAAAUGCAUGGUGUUCUGUUAUCAAUAAAGGGAUGUAAUAUAUCUGUUGAUUGAUAUGUAUGAUUAAUAAAAUAAAAAAAGACUCACUGCUUAUUAAAAUAGUAAUACUAUAUAUCUGUUUGCGAUCUCUUUUUGUGAAUUUUAGUGUUUAAAAAACACUGUGUGAACAUUAUUAUUAUAUUAUUCCUCUGUAACAGUUUUUUGUGGGUAGUACAUUGAAUUGUUAAAAAAAAAGGUUUCUGUUGUGUUCAGGGAGGCUUAAAUAAACACUGACAAAUGAGGAAGCUGGUUUUAGACUGACUUCAGUGACUAGCUUGAAUAACUGAGAGGAGUUCAUGUGGAAAAGAUACACAGACACCACAAAUAAAAAUACAUAUUUGGAUCCACUAACUUGAAGAAAUGUGAGGAAGAAAUGUGGAACAUAAUUUGUCACAUCUACAUAUUUAAUUCAUAAUCGUGCAGAAAACAUGGUUUUCAAUGGAGCUUUAACAUCAGCCACCACGCUGAGUUGCAAUCAUGAACAUGUACAGUAAAGCAUAAAUAAAACAGUUGUUACUGUGUGAGCAUUGCUGCUUUCAGUUCAGUGGAUGCUGCUGUUUAUUGGCAGCACUUUUAGCACCACAUCCUGUCACGUACAGAAGAGAAAUAUCCUUAUCUAGCCAUCUGACAAUUAUUUUUUCAAUGGCACUCCUUGGUCAUUAACAUAUUUACAAAGCUUUCCUUCUCUGUUCAGUAGUGAGUUAACCUGUGAUUUUCCAGUAGAACAGAAUAACUCUUUCGAAGGCAGCAGCUUCACUGAUUGAUUCUACAUGACAUCAUCGGAGAAAUCUAAGGAGGGGUAGUUCAGAGGGAAGGGCUUCAUUUCUUUUCUUUCGGUUUCACUCCUUACUGACAAUGGUGAGUAGCUGCUUUUAUGUGGUUUCCUUUGCCAAUAUUACAUUAUGGUUCAUUCUACAUUGCUAAUUUAAUGUCUGGUGUCAGUGAAAUGUGUAAUGUGAAAUGUGUUUUACUAUAACUGUCGCAGUGUUUUCCCACCAAGCUAUGAGACUUUUAAAUCAAAUGAAUCCUCCAUGGAAUAUAGUUUAGAGUUUUCCUUUCUAUAAUUGUAUUUCUAUAUUGUAUAUUAUCUGCUAUGUAGCAGAAGGGAGUUACAAACCACAUUUUAUUUUACAACCCUGUUCUAAUGUGACCGUUAAACCUACCUUGUACCUUGUAUCAUUUCCAUUUGCAUCUGGAGGCUGAACGGAGGAUGAUGAGGUGAGUCAGCUGGUUUACUGAACCACAAGUUGUUACUGUUGCUUUCUGCUUUUCAAUUCCCUAAAAACAAUUUGUUUAUUCUUUUAGAGAAGAAGAGUUUCUGAUACAGGAAGACCAUUUCAGAAGGAAUGCUUUCUUGAUUAUCAGUGAAAUGGUGAAAAUGAGUCCAAAGCAUCCUUCAGUGUUAGUGGAUGAGGUUUGUCUGAUGAGGACUGAAAAUUUCUGGUUCUGGACAUAAUGCAUGGAUUGUCCAUCUGAUGGGACAAGAGAAUGAAGACACAAUAAUAGAAGAGCUGCAGAAGCUCAUCCGUCAACUGAAGGAGGAUGAAGCAAAAGAUCUGGUCUCCUCCACCAUCUGUGUCUCCCAGAAAAACAAGGACCCAAAUUCAGACAGGUACUAUGGAGUCUCCAUGUCCACUUCUGGCAGGGAUCCUGGGCGAAUCAUGAUUGCUGCGUCCUGCCUUAGUGCCUGGGACAGUUACGUAGCUGGUGCAGUGAUGACCUACUAUCCAAAGAAGACACAAAAGCCAUAUUUUGAUGGAACCAUUAAACUUCCAGAGCAGGUCAGGUGUCAGGCGUUUAGCUUAAGUGAUCUAAGAGAAAUGCCUCCUUGCAGAUCAUGUGGGAAUUUGUUUGGUUUGACAACAAGUGAAAAUAGGGAGUGGCCCUAUGGCCACUGUGCCGAAGCUGAAAGUGUGAGCAACUUGCUUAAAUAUGAGAAAGAAGUGAGAGAGCAAGCACAGCCAAAAUCUAAAACAGCCACAGAUGAGAACAGGAAAAAGGCUCAAGAGAGUGUCUUGAAAGAGCUUACAAAUCUUCUGAAAAUGCAGAAAUUUACAUGGGAUAAACAUUUCUACACCCCACAAGUUUGAUCUUUGGGGAGUUCUUAUGGUUCAUUAUUAUAUAGUAACCAGAUUGAUCUCAAUGGUUUUGAUUCCUUAUCAGUAAAAACUUCUCUGUAACCCUCUAAUUAAAUCAAAGUUUUUUGUGAUUGUGAAAUUGAUGUGACGACCAGAGCUGUCAAUAAAUCGUGCUUUUAUCAUAACAAAUGAUUAAUGCUCCAGCUACCCACUCCUGUUACAUUAAACAUAUGAAUCACAUGGCAGAAUCACAAAGCCAGAUGUCUGAUAACUGUAAGAAAAAAGCAUGCAGAAAGAUGCAAAUGUUGAUGUAUUGAUCGUGUUAUUAACAAUAAAUAAUGGUGGGGUAAA